GACUGAUUCAUCUAGGUGCAGAUG
rnacentral:siRNA from 1 species